GACGUAGGGUCCAAGCGUUGUCCGGAUUUACUGGGCGUAAAGGGCGCGUAGGCGGGAUGGCAAGUCGGUCGUGAAAGCCUUCGGCUCAACCGAAGAACGUCGGCCGAUACUGCCGUUCUUGAGGGAUGCAGAGGAGACUGGAAUUCCCGGUGUAGCGGUGAAAUGUGUAGAGAUCGGGAGGAACACCGGUGGCGAAGGCGGGUCUCUGGGCAUCUCCUGACGCUGAGGCGCGAAAGCGUGGGGAGCAAACGGG
rnacentral:rRNA from 1 species